UGCCCAGACUCCUACGGGAGGCAGCAGUGGGGGAUAUUGCACAAUGGGGGGAACCCUGAUGCAGCGACGCCGCGUGAAGGAAGAAGUAUCUCGGUAUGUAAACUUCUAUCAGCAGGGAAGAAAAUGACGGUACCUGACUAAGAAGCCCCGGCUAACUACGUGCCAGCAGCCGCGGUAAUACGUAGGGGGCAAGCGUUAUCCGGAUUUACUGGGCGUAAAGGGAGCGCAGGCGGCGCGCCAAGUCUGAUGUGAAACCCCGGGGCUCAACCCCGGGCAUGCAUUGGAAACUGGCGGGCUGGAGUGCCGGAGAGGUAAGCGGAAUUCCUAGUGUAGCGGUGAAAUGCGUAGAUAUUAGGAGGAACACCAGUGGCGAAGGCGGCUUACUGGACGGCAACUGACGCUGAGGCUCGAAAGCGUGGGGAGCAAACAGGAUUAGAUACCCGAGUAGA
rnacentral:rRNA from 1 species